UACGAAGGGGGCUAGCGUUGCUCGGAAUUACUGGGCGUAAAGAGCGCGUAGGCGGCACUGUUAGUCAGGCGUGAAAGUCCUGGGCUCAACCUGGGAACUGCGCUUGAUACGGCAGAGCUAGAGGAUGGAAGAGGCUCGCGGAAUUCCCAGUGUAGAGGUGAAAUUCGUAGAUAUUGGGGAGAACACCGGUGGCGAAGGCGGCGAGCUGGUCCAUUACUGACGCUGAGGCGCGACAGCGUGGGGAGCAAACAGG
rnacentral:rRNA from 1 species